CCUACGGGCGGCAGCAGUGAGGAAUAUUGGUCAAUGGACGAGAGUCUGAACCAGCCAAGUAGCGUGAAGGAUGCCUGCCCUAUGGGUUGUAAACUUCUUUUAUAUGGGAAUACAAUGUUCCACGUGUGGGAUUUUGUAUGUACACUAUGAAUAAGGAUCGGCUAACUCCGUGCCAGCAGCCGCGGUAAUACGGGGGAUGCGCGCGUUCUCCGGAUUUAUUGGGUUUAAAGGGUGCGUAGGCGGAUUUUUAAGUCAGCGGUAAAUUGUCCGUGCUCAACCCGGGCCGGCCGUGGAAACUGGGGAUCUUGAGUGUGCGAGAAGUAGGCGGAAUGCGUGGUGUAGCGGUGAAAUGCAUAGAUAUCACGCAGAACGCCGAUUGCGAAGGCAGCAUACCGGCGCCCGACGGACGCUGAGGCACGAAAGCGUGGGGAUCGAACAGGAUUAGAUACCCGGGUAGUC
rnacentral:rRNA from 1 species